rnacentral:lncRNA from 1 species
GUGCAGUUUAUCAGUCUCUUUUGGGGUCCAUAUGGGGGUCCAUAAGGGGGUCCAUAAGGGGGUCCAAAAGUGGGGGUCCAGGUUUUGUACCGACCCGCCGCCGUGCCAAUUAUGACGUCAAGUGCAAACCAAGAAUUGACGGCAUGAUUGCUAUUUUACUGGUUUUAAAUAUUUGCCAUCCAAAACAGUGGACGCCAAACACACGCAACACACACACACACACACACACGUAUAUAUAAAACUUGUACCAAUGCUGUUGUGAUAUUGACAUUUAUUAGUUACAUUGAAACGAUACUCGUAAAUAGCAAGCCUGUUUGCAGGCUAUUAGGCAUGGACCUUCGGGGGUAAUAAUUAACUGAAAGACUAAGACUAUUGUUAUUGUACAUGUGUUCGGGGAAGACAAUAUAUAAAUUUACACUGUUUCAACAAUUGCAUGUCAUAUCAGUAUCAAUGUUCGACUGCUUGCUCCCAUCUUGUUGACAAGUUGUCAACGGGUUGUUGACAACUUGUCACAAGGUUGUUGAACUCAACAGACUGGUUAUAACGUUGUUCCAACAACCUGUUACAUCGUCCUGCAAUUCAACAACUUGUUAACAACAAGAACAACAACAACAGAACAGAUUGUGAGUGGUAAUCUUGUAGCAAACAAACUAACAACAUUGCUAUACAAAUUGUUGACAAGAUGCGAGAUUUUUGCGUGUGUAUUUCGCAUUGCAUAUGUUGUAACAUCAAGUUGACCAUGUCCAUGUGCUAGCUGCUGCAAAUAAAUGUAAUGUUCUCAGAAUCCAAACGGCUAUAAUUCGAACGUUGUUCAAUUAGUGUACUAUAAUAUAUAUACAAGUAUUAUAUAUUUACACAAUUGGAGCUACCUCAUGUCACCGUCUAAAUGUUAAACUACGUGCAUGCCUAUGUUAUUAUAAACAGAACGAUGUUAUGCACGAACCCAGAAAAUAAAUAAUAAAAACCCGUUCCCUUUUUUCGCUUAAGACAUUUAUAUUCAAUAUAACUUUUUGAGCGUCCGGUAAAACAGUGACUGGCUACAAUUUCUCGGUUCAUCGUUUUUGAAUCCGUGUCGUCGUGUCCAGCGUUCGACCUGCCGCUGACGGUACGAUUUCUGGCGGACUGCCCGGGACAGUGACAAGGAAUUACAUAACAACAGGAAUAAAAGCACCCCCCCACAAACACCAACGUAACCAAUACAACAGUCGCAUAAACCAACGGUUCCCAGAACGGAUCGUCAUUUCCAUGGCAAGCUUUUUUGGAGCAAUAAUUCUUCCCGACAUGCAUUACAACACGUUGAUUGAACACAGUCGCCAUCCGAAUGGCAAAAUAUUUCAGAACAAUUUUGCCGGCAAACCAUUAUCUUGAAACAGCAGUAUGUUCCAUCCUCGCAACCAGAAGAAGAACUGCAGCGUUUCUCGGCCAAUACAGAUAACAUUUCAGCAAGAAACAGCACAGAAAAAAACAAAAAUACUUCGCCUACACGUCGUUUACCCAUUUCGUGACUACACUGUCAUUAAUGUGUAAAACCACUUCAUGCUCGUGUGCUUAAAUUGAAACCACUUGGGCUAAUGGUCGUUUGUAAGAAAUUCCUGAAUGUUAAAUCAAGCUUAAACAUGCGGUUUUCAUCCAUUCACUGCAGAGUAUAUAUAUAGUAAAGUACUACGCAACGUCGACUCUCGAUUUUUAUUAUUUCACAAUAUUCCACUCCGAAUGGACGACUUACGUGUUACGUUGAUUUGACUAAAAUAACAUGACGUACGUAGAAUAAUUAUUGUCGCCCGCGAUGAACUGAGAAAAGCGCGCGAAAAGGAAGCCAUGUUGAACGUUAAAAGUACGUAUAAAAGUAGUCUAAAGAAACGCUAAAAAUUAAUGUUUGAACCGGGAAAAGUCAAGUUAGGAUUUAUGGUUUUAAAGUUUAUCACUGGUUUGGACAAAUGUAAGUUAAAAACAGUGUAAUUGUAACGUAAUGUAUUGUAUUUAUAUUUGUAAACAUAG